UGCCCGGCCGAGAAGAGACAGGCACCUCCCGUAGCAAAGCAACGGCUGCGGCGAGAGACGACUCGACUCCCGUAUGGAGUAACCCCGCCGCGUCGUGCCCUCGCCUCCGGCCCGGCGGCCUCCUGCCACCGCCGCCCCAUCGCCCUUCCGCUCUCGGUCUGGCGGAGCGGGUUGAACAUCUGCUCGCUCAUCUUGACCUGACCGAGAGGCGCAUCGCGAGUUCGCUACCUGGCCCAUCGCGCCGCCUCUUCCCAGGCGCUGAAGCGCCGCCGCCCGCGCCCACCGGUCGGCGUCGCCGACCCGCGCCGGCCCUCCAGCCUCCGCAUCUCCGUGGCCCCUUUCUACUGGCCUGCUGCACCUCCUCCGCCCCGCGCAGGUCGCUGCUGCCCUGCUUCCUGCUCCACCUCGCGGCCUCGCCUCGGAGUGCCAAGCAGCCGCCGAAGGGGCCGGAGCUAGGGUUUCGGCCAAAAAUCGCUGCGGCCAGGGCGCCGGUCCGUUCGCCGUCUUCGUAUCUCUCAUCUCAUUCAGUGUGACAUUCAAAUUUCAAGAUAAUCUGCUGUAGAACACAAAAGUUGCGCAGAUGAUUGAUGAUGAGGCCAACUUCGACAUCAUCUUUGAUGCCUCAGAAGAUGUGCAGACCACUGCGAAGUUCCGUCCCAAGCAACGGGCCAAACCCCGAAAAACUGCUCUGUCAUCCAGAUCUGCAGCAUCUAAUCCUACUGUGGAAAAUGGAGUUGGGAAACUAGGAGCCUUAAAUCAAGUCAGUUCUUCUAAAGAACUCACCAACCAAGAAAGAGCAUCCUUGACAUGCCCUGGUAGUGACAUACCUGAUGAUAAAGCUGGUUCUCGAGGUAUUCUUGAGACACCAUUGGAUGAUGUGCUGACAGUUCCAUUGGGACCUCCGGGUGGUACUUCUGCUGCAGAUAGGAUUUCUCAAGGUGACAAGCAAAAUGCUGAUUUGUCUAAAUUAGCUACACAUCAAGAAAGCUUGGUGGUUUCAGAUAUCCAAGUGUCACCUGCCAGUUCAUGUGGCAAGACUAUCGAUGAUGUAGUUGACUUUGAGGAAAUGUUUGGUGCACAGGAUAAAGAGGAAAGAGUUGCAAAGUUCCAGCCAAAGGUACAGAAGAAGCUCCUUAAGACAGCCAAAUCUCAAAAGACUAACCAAAAGGUGGAAGCUUCCACUGUAGACGUGGCUCCACAAAAUGAAACGGGUGAUGAUAUUCAGACAAGAGUCCAUUGUAAUCAGCUACAGGGCCCUAAAUGUCAUGGAAGUGUGCAGACCCCAGAUUCUGAAGGAUUGUUGGCAACCAGCAACAGUGAUGUUGGCAAUUUAGAAAACCUUGACAGUGUCCAUGAGGUAUCAGUUCAAGAGGAAACAAUAGUGAAGUUUUGUCCUAAAUUGCGACCGAAGCCUAUGAUAGUUUCAUCCAAAGUUGUCAGUACUAAUGAUAAUAUCACUACGGCUACUCGGAUGGUUGGAAUUUGUGCUGAGAGCAAUGAUAUGUCGACAAAACCUAAAGAUCAGGAAACCAUCACCGCUUCAGCCACUUCGUCAGCACAGGAUGUGGAUGCUACUGUUGAUUUAGACCACCACAAUGAACUAGUUAAUUCUCCUACGGAUGGUACAGAAUUGAUGGUUGGAAAAGUCUCAGCUGAAGCUACUUGUAAGUCUCAAUCCAAUGUUGUAAGAGAAAAGGGCAAAGGAAAAUCUGUAUCUUUUGCUCUGUCAGAUGCUUCUGGGGUUGUUACUCCUACAGAUACCAAUUCUGAGAUGGGUAACUUCAGCGAUUCCUGCAAAGACAAAUUGAUCGAUGAAAACUUAAGUAACUUGUCUCAGCAGACGUCUGAAAAGGAACAUAAUGAUAAUGAGAGCUGGUUCGAUGAGGGGGAUCCAUUAGAUCAUGCUGUUGAACCACCACCAAAAUUGGGUAUUGGGGAAAACAGAUCAUCUAUGAAACUACGGAGCAGGAAGAAGACACAGAAAGAUGGGACACCUAAGCAUACAGAUGACUAUUUUGAUGAAGACUUAGUUGAACCUUCAUUAGUUGAAGAAGAUAAUGAUAGUGGUGAUGAUUACACUGCCGGUACUAAUCGGAAGGUUAGGAAAAAAUCAAGGGGUGAUGUAGAAGAGCCACAGCAGCGAAAUGUCCAAAAAGAUAAAAGCCAGGUAUCUUCGCGGGGCCGCAAGAGAACCUUGAAAGAUGCAUCAGCAGAAAAAACAGAGAAGAAGCUUACCCAUAGAAUUCGCCAGAGGAGAUCGAAAGAGGUUAAGACUUUACUGGAAAAACCUCAUGACGAGAUAAAUCCUAUGAAGCUAAGUGCAGCACACCUGAGGUUGUUACAAGAGGCUAGAGAGCGUGUUAAUGCAAAAGAGAAUCCAUCCGGCCCAUCCUCUAAUACAAGCAGCUUUCAAUUUCAUGAUGAUAUGGAUGAUUUGGACUAUGGAGAUGAGGAAGGAAGGAACUUCGACAAUGACAGAACAGAGAACCAUGUACAAAAUAUGAAAAAACUGAACUACCAUUCCUACAUGAACAAACAAACUCGAGGCAAAUGGUCAAAAUCUGAUACUGAUGUGUUUUACCAGGGGCUUCGACAAUUUGGUAGCGAUUUUGCAAUGAUACAGCAAUUACUCCCUGAUAAGACCCGUCAGCAGGUGCGGGCAAAAUUUAAAACCGAGGAGAAAAAAAAUCCGUUGCUAGUCCAUGAUGCUAUAAUUCAUCGCUCAGGAGAUAAUUUGUACUUCAAAAAGGUAAUUAAGAAUCUCAACAUUGAAGAUGUCGCGCAGCAAGAGAUUAAUAAUACUCAUAAACAAGACGGCGCAUCAAGUGAACGAGGCCCUGGAAAAGAGGAUGUACUGGAUGAUUUCAUCCAUGAGGAAGAUGAUUCGAAUUGGUUGGAUGAAGAGCCCGGCAUACAAAUGCCUGAUGUGCAAAAUGAGCGCCCUUCUGGAAAUGAUGAGGAUGAUGAUGGUGAUCUUGGCGAUGUUUUUGAUUGGUACUAGCACGAUAAUCACGACAGAAAUUAGGAUCACGAUCUAAUUCUGCUUACUUUGAGGUUUAUCUGGAUCAGGUACCCGGAUGGGGUUUACUGCUUCACCUCCCUAGUUGUUGCUAACCAGAGGAUAGUGACAGAGUAUUCCUAUCCCUGUAACAUGACACAUCCUUCCUGUAAUGUUUUGUUGGAAAAGUGGACCUGUGAUGUCUUGGCGACUACUAUCAUCAUUAGUCAGUAUUAGUGGUAGCGACAGAUGUCUCCUGGAACGCCAAGUUUUGCAAGCUGAUGGGAACUGUGAUGAAUGUUUUUUAUCAUAUGAUGCUGCUGAAGUGGCCCUUCCGUAGCUUCUUAUGUAGUAAUAAUAUUCUUUCUCUCGCUGGCAAAACGAGAGGUCGAUGAAUAGAUAGUACGGAGUACG